ACCCGUGUUCCUGUCCCUCACAAUACUCCCCACUUUCUAAAAUGAUCUACAUCCAUAGAUUCAUUUUAGUAAAUAAUUUUGCUUUGACAAUAAUUUAUUUUAGAACUCUCUCUCGCGGAGUUAAUCUUCGCGUAGGAACCGACCGACUUUAAUUUAGAUGUGGGUCGAAGAGAUAUAAAAGGACAAAGUAAUAAAAUGAUAAAAGGAUGUUUAUUAUUUCUAAUAAUAAUUCAAAAUAAUCAUAAUAAUUUCAAAAUAAUUCGCAAUAUAUAUAUAUGGAUUACAGGUAUAUAAUAUAACUACAUAAAUUGAAUCUACCAUAAACAUUUGUGAAUAAUAUGAAUUUACAUAAAAUAAAGGGAUGAGUCAUCCUUGUGGAUGAGCCGAUUCUAACGGGGAGUUCUACCUCUUCCCGUAUUAGGAGUCGGAGAAAGAAGUAAGUCCGUAUUACUGGAUCGUUCAUGACGUGAGACGGGAUUACGUGACGUGAUGUCAUCCGGGGACUUCAUUUCUGGAUGCGAUGUUUCUGUUUGUUCGGGAAGUUGUCGUCUAGAGGAAGAAUUCUGUUGUCUAGGUGAAGGCGGAAGGGACUCGAAGGCUCUCGAGGCGGUGGAUAUAUCGUUUGUCAGAUGGAAUUGAGCUAACUGCAUCUGCAUACACAGGGGGGUUUUUACCCCAGCAGGUAGCAGAAUGGCCACCUUUAAAUCGCUAGGGUUCUCCGCAUUAAUUUGUUUUCCUCGGUCAAUUGCUUGGCAAAGGACGGCCGGGUCUAUUCGUCGGAUCGUAGCCGCAGAUGGUUGUCGCGGAGGCGUCGUGGCUGGCGAAGAUUCCCAGGGCGAACCCAUGGGAGUGCUAUCAUCCCAUCCAUCGCUCCACCCUUCUGCCAUAUUGAUUGCAGAUCUGUGAAUAAACAAUUUAAAUUGAUUUGUCUUCUUUGUUUUUGAUACUUAAAAUUGUGAACUAUAUGUAUAUUCUCUCCUUUUUUUGUGUGUGUGUGUGUGUGUGUGC
rnacentral:lncRNA from 1 species